rnacentral:lncRNA from 1 species
UAGUAAUCAUGUGCGCUCAUUAAUCUUCUAUGUCAUCUAGGUAACUUUACACAAGAUAGUUAAAUAUUGUGUAAUCUAUUAAAUUGAAAAUUCCACAUAUAACCUUUGAUCCACUGACAGUUGGUGUGUUGUAUUUUACAUUUUGAUGCAUUUUAGAUCUUAUAGUUUACUAUAGAAUUGUCAAAAAAUAGAUAGGGAUUAAAUAAAUUUC